UACAGAGGUCCCGAGCGUUGUUCGGAUUUACUGGGCGUAAAGGGCGCGUAGGCGGCCACCGCAAGUCGACUGUGAAAUCUCCGGGCUUAACCCGGAAAGGUCAGCCGAUACUGCGGGGCUAGAGUGCAGAAGGGGCAACUGGAAUUCUCGGUGUAGCGGUGAAAUGCGUAGAUAUCGAGAGGAACACCUGCGGCGAAGGCGGGUUGCUGGGCUGACACUGACGCUGAUGCGCGAAAGCUAGGGGAGCGAACGGG
rnacentral:rRNA from 1 species